CGCACAUGCGCAGUAAUCAGGCCAAACGGACUUGACACCAUCUGCGGUCAUAGUCCAAAGUCCCUAACUUUGACCACAGGGCUAGUUCCAUUCUGAUAGACUCUGUGGGUUCCACAACUAUCUUGCCUGCAGCUCUGCAUUUAGGGACACCCAAAUUGGAAGAGGACUUACUGGUCCUUUCAAGGGGGAGACGGAGGCUUUCAAGGAUGCUGUGCUAAGAAGGGUCCCAGCAUUCAGCCUGAGCCCCAGGUUCUGCUCAGAAACACCAACCCACAGCUUUUGCAGGCCUGCAGAGACCAAGACACCUCACCACGCCCUCAAAGAGCCAGAGCCAUCUAGGGACUUGAUAGAGGUCUGUGGGACACGGAGCAGAGGAAACAAGAAACCAGGAAUGUUGGACACUGUGAAACCGUAGAGGCGAGUCACCCCUGGGAACACAUAGGCCAGGAUACGCCGGUCAAGCUGGAACGCGAUCUCCCCAACGAUUCGGCCAUCCUUCUCAGCACCCGAAAAACUCUGGAUCUCUGGAUGCUGUUCUGCCACCCCACCAACUCAGCCUUCUCUGAGGACAGCAGGAGACAUCACAGCCUGGAUCUGGAAAGAGCCAGCCUCUUCCAGUCUACAGCAUUGCCACCAAAGACAGGCCAAUGUCUGAAAGCUCCUGGUGUCGUCAUAGAAAUCAUUAUUAAGCAAUGGAGUCCGUAUCCAUAGCCUUUGAAAACCUCGUGCUCUUUGGAAAAUGAACCUCAUCUGAAUUUAAAAGGCCUGUAGAAAACACUCUUCUAUCUACAGGGUCCGUGUUGGCCACUUACACUUGGAUGCGUGUAAGCUGUACAGUAGCUCUCGGUUCAAUUCCCACAUUACAGAGCCCAGGAUGGCAGCACAAGUGACUUAGCCUAGGGAGCCCCACGUGCUACACCCCCCACACACAUGCUGAUCUCAUUUAGAGGCAUUACCCCUGACUGAGCUGCACACGUCCAUUCUGACAGAAGACAGAGGACAAUAUGCUAACACUCAGGCAACACCUGAGACUCACACCACUGACAGGAUCUCAGUUUGGUAAGGUCCUGUGCGUCUGACCCAAAGGCUCCCACAUUAUUGAAAAUAAUGCCACAUGGCUCAGAAAAUCCAGGUCCUGUGUGAGUUAUGAUUGUUCAACACCCACACUCAAGACACUGAUAACCACAUAGAGACAUGGACCCUGGACCCUCAUCCCUGCUGGAGGUGCCUUGUGACCUUAAGCUUUUGAGAGGUGACCCAGAAUGACUUGUUAUCCUCCUGACCAUCAUGGGGACACUAGUGGGCAGGCCCCAGGGCUAGUUCUGCCUAUAUGACCUUGGUCAAGCGGUCGUCCAUCAGGUAUCAAGUUCUGAGCCAGGGUCUGUGAUACACACUAACUAGACAUUACUGUGCUGAAAAGCAUGUAUAACUGUGAAUACCAGUGAGUGAGACAACCAGGAAGAAGCUUAGAUAGACAGGAAAAACAGGAGCCUCCAACUUGGACUCACAGAAUAGGGAUCAGGGCAGAUGAGAAACCAGGCCGUUGUUGUAUAUAAUUGGGCACUUGGAAGUUGGGAGUAACCAACCACUUUCUGACUGGAUUUGAGACCGGCUC
rnacentral:lncRNA from 1 species